AUGCCCCCUUGCAGCAUUGUAGGUGUGGUUGCUGUGUCACAGAUACAUUAGUAGAUAGCUGAGAGAGAGACUAUGUGUUCUGAGCCAUGACCAUCUGAAUGAUUAGUAGCCUAACAUC
rnacentral:snoRNA from 1 species